rnacentral:pre_miRNA from 1 species
UCUGUGCUGUGGAGGUAAUAUAUAGCUGUCAACAUAUAUACGUCCAAAGCACUGAGGGG